GAUGAAGAACGUAGCGAAACGCGAUAAGUAAUGUGAAUUGCAGAAUCCAGUGAAUCAUCGAAUCUUUGAACGCACAUUGCGCCCGCCAGCAUUCUGGCGGGCAUGCCUGUCCGAGCGUCAUUUCAACCCUCAAGCCCCCGGGCUUGGUGUUGGGGAUCGGCGAGCCUCCGCGCCCGCCGUCCCCUAAAUCUAGUGGCGGUCUCGCUGUAGCUUCCUCUGCGUAGUAGCACACCUCGCACUGGGAAACAGCGCGGCCACGCCGUUAAACCCCCAACUUCUGAACGUUUGACCUCGGAUCAGGUAGGAAUACCCGCUGAACUUAAGCAUAUCAAUAAGCGGAGGA
rnacentral:misc_RNA from 1 species